rnacentral:ncRNA from 1 species
GCAAAGUUUUAUUAUGGCUUUGAAAUUGACUGACUAAUUUAUUUAUAUGUUAAUUUUAGUAUUUAAUUGAAUUUAAAUAGUUCAAAUUUUUUUGCAGUAUGUAGAUUUAAAUUUUAAGUGGUUUUAGAUUUAGGAAUUUAGUUUAGUGUAGACUAAGUUUGUGCCAGCAGUAGCGGUUAUACAAACUAUACAAGUUAAUUAUAUUUAGUUUUAAUUAAGUGUAAAUUGAUGGUUUUAUUACAAAUUUUUUAGGUGAAAUUUUAAAUUUGUUUAAAAUUAUUGUUUUUUUUCUGAGGUUAAGAAAUUUAUUUUUAGACUAGGAUUAGAUACCCUAUUAUUUUAAAUGUGAAUUUUUAAACUGAAAUUAUUGUUAGUUAAGGUCUUUAAAGUUAAAGAUUUUGGCGGUAUUUUAGUCUUUUCAGAGGAACCUGUCUUUUAAUCGAUAAUCCACGAUAAUUAAUACCUUUCUUUUAAAUUUGCAUAUCGUCGUUAAAUAAAUAUUUUAAUAGAAUUUUAAUGUUUAGGAAUUUUUAUUAUAAAGUAAUUCAGAUCAAGGUGUAGUUUAUAGAAAGGAUAAGAUGGGUUACAUUACGUUUAUGUGUGGACUUUCUUUUUGAAAUGGGAAUGAAAAUGGAUUUGAAAGUAAUGCUUAUUAUUUAUACGGCGUGAUUAAGCUCUAAAAUAUGCACAUAUCGCCCGUCGCUUUCAUAUAAGAUGAAAUAAGUCGUAACAAAGUAGGUUUAUUGGAAAAUGAACCUGGAAUGA